UACGAAGGGGGCUAGCGUUGUUCGGAUUUACUGGGCGUAAAGCGCACGUAGGCGGAUUGGUCAGUUAGAGGUGAAAUCCCGAAGCUCAACGUUCGGAACUGCCUUUAAUACUGCCAGUCUAGAGUCCGGGAAGAGGUAAGUGGAACUCCUAGUGUAGAGGUGGAAUUCGUAGAUAUUAGGAAGAACACCAGUGGCGAAGGCGGCUUACUGGUCCGGUACUGACGCUGAGGUGCGAAAGCGUGGGGAGCAAACAGG
rnacentral:rRNA from 1 species